AUUGAACGCUGGCGGAAUGCUUUACACAUGCAAGUCGAACGGCAGCACGGACUUCGGUCUGGUGGCGAGUGGCGAACGGGUGAGUAAUGUAUCGGAACGUGCCCAGUCGUGGGGGAUAACGUAGUGAAAAUUACGCUAAUACCGCAUACGAUCUAUGGAUGAAAGCGGGGGAUCGCAAGACCUCGCGCGAUUGGAGCGGCCGAUAUCAGAUUAGGUAGUUGGUGGGGUAAAGGCCCACCAAGCAAACGAUCUGUAGCUGGUCUGAGAGGACGACCAGCCACACUGGAACGGAGACACGGGCCAGACUCGUACGGGAGGCAGCAGUGGGGAAUUUUGGACAAUGGGCGAAAGCCUGAUCCAGCCAUUCCGCGUGCAGGAUGAAGGCCCUCGGGUUGUAAACUGCUUUUGUACAGAACGAAAAGGUUUCUACUAAUACUAGGAGCUCAUGACGGUACUGUAAGAAUAAGCACCGGCUAACUACGUGCCAGCCGCCGCCGUAA
rnacentral:rRNA from 1 species